CAGACGCCUCUGGGCCUCGCGAGGCCACUUGAGUGUGGGACCGACUAGUGCAUCCUUGCGACCCUGAGGCCGAGUGCGUGCAGGACUGGGCGAUACCUCCGCCAGGCAGGAUUUUGUCUGAUUCACCCCUUGAGAGUUUCGCUCUUGUACCCAGACUGGAGUGCAAUGGCAUGAUCUCGGCUCUCCGCAACCUCCGCCUUCUGGGUUCAAGCAAUUCUCCUGCCUCAGCCUCCCGAAUAGCUGGGACUACAGGCGCGCACCACCAUGCCCAGCUAAUUUUUGUGUUUUUAGUAGAGACGGGGUUUCACCUAAUUGACCAGGAUGGUCUCGAUCUCUCGACCUCAUGAUCCACCCGCCUCGGCCUCCCAAAGUGCUGGGAUAUAGGCAUGAGCCACCGCGCCCAGCCUCCUGAGUGGUGUUAAAUUGCAUACAUACAUUACAAUUUGUAUAUCCAUUCACUUGCUGGUGGACAUUUGGGUUGUUUCCAGUUUUAGCCAUUUCAAAUAAAAAUGAUGAGGACAUUUA